rnacentral:rRNA from 1 species
AGUGAACGCUGGCGGUAGGCCUAACACAUGCAAGUCGGACGGCAGCACAGUAAGAGCUUGCUCUUACGGGUGGCGAGUGGCGGACGGGUGAGGAAUACAUCGGAAUCUACUUUUUCGUGGGGGAUAACGUAGGGAAACUUACGCUAAUACCGCAUACGACCUACGGGUGAAAGCAGGGGAUCUUCGGACCUUGCGCGAUUGAAUGAGCCGAUGUCGGAUUAGCUAGUUGGCGGGGUAAAGGCCCACCAAGGCGACGAUCCGUAGCUGGUCUGAGAGGAUGAUCAGCCACACUGGAACUGAGACACGGUCCAGACUCCUACGGGAGGCAGCAGUGGGGAAUAUUGGACAAUGGGCGCAAGCCUGAUCCAGCCAUACCGCGUGGGUGAAGAAGGCCUUCGGGUUGUAAAGCCCUUUUGUUGGGAAAGAAAAGCAGCAGGUUAAUACCCCGCUGUUCUGGCGGUACCCAAAGAAUAAGCACCGGCUAACUUCGUG